AGAUCACUGAUUUCACCAGAAAGUUUUUGGAAGCCAUAAACAGGAAAUGGUUAAGUAAAAGCAGGUGGAGCAUGCUGACUGCAGGAACAACGCAGGAAAUAGCUGAGCGUCUGAAUGGAUGCAAAAAAAAUGCUCUUCUGCUCCGUCCUUGGCAAUCACAAUACAUUUACUCCUCCUCCUCCUCGUCCUCCUUCACUACCCUUAUCUCCCCAAGCUACAAAGUCUCGCAGUCUGCAAACACCUUUUGUUUGUGUAAUCUGCUCUCCUUGAACCAGCAGGGGAGAGCUGGCACGUUCUGCUUGGGAGGCAACGGACAAGAGGGAUUCACCUCCUGUGCAAAGGAUGAGUCAGAAACACCCAGCAAUAACCACUGCCUGUCAGGGGCUCUAGGUCUGAGAAGCAGGAACAGCAUUGCUCACUACUUCCUCAGGUGGUGCAGUCCCAAGUGUAUUUAGCAAAAGUCAGAAAAACAUUAUUCCUAUUGCCCCUUUCAUUCUAGAGGGCUCCCAAAGCACUUAGUCGUAGGAAUCAUUCUCCAUCUCUACUGAAACACAGUCCCUUCUGGGGCAGAGCACUGCAGCUGUUUAACAGCUCAUAGCAACAUCACACAAGCAGAUGGAAAAGAAAGCGAAAUGUUAUCUGCAGAGACUUGGCUCUGGAGACUGGGAUCUGCUUGCCAACAUACUGCCUCUGGGUGCAUUCAGUCCCAAGGGUCGAGUUUCCACUGCCACACUCAUCCCUGGCUGUGCUGCCAGACAUGCUGCAGGAUGGAGGGCAGACGUACUGGGUGUCAUCAGAAUUAUGGGGGUCUUGAAGAAGACUAAUGAAACAGAGUCAAGACACGGAAACCUCAGAAUAACAUGACCUGCCACCCCAGCAAAUGUGGUUGUGAUGUUCCAGAGAUAUAAGCAACACUGCCCCAUUCUCAGGAUUCAUUGAGCACAGUUUAUGUGAUGCUGGUUCUGAUCAUUUGCAAUUGCAUAUUAGCACAACCUCCCUGAAUUUUGUCUUGGAAAGCUCAGUGACUUUAGGACGUUUGGCAUUAAGAACUGCCCUUUCCAGUAUGAGAAUCUGAAUGAGGUGCUGCACAAUUCUCAUU